rnacentral:tRNA from 1 species
GGGGUUAUAGCUCAGUGGUAGAGCAUUCGACUGCAGAUCGAGUUGUCCCCGUUUCAAACGCGGGAGUCUUCU